CCUACGGGAUGCACCAGUGGGGAAUAUUGCACAAUGGGCGCAAGCCUGAUGCAGCCAUGCCGCGUGCGUGAAGAAGGUCUUCGGGUUGUAAAGCACUUUCAGCGGGGAGGAAGGCGGUGAGGUUAAUAACCUCAUCGAUUGACGUUACCCGCAGAAGAAGCACCGGCUAACUCCGUGCCAGCAGCCGCGGUAAUACGGAGGGUGCAAGCGUUAAUCGGAAUUACUGGGCGUAAAGCGCACGCAGGCGGUCUGUCAAGUCGGAUGUGAAAUCCCCGGGCUCAACCUGGGAACUGCAUUCGAAACUGGCAGGCUGGAGUCUUGUAGAGGGGGGUAGAAUUCCAGGUGUAGCGGUGAAAUGCGUAGAGAUCUGGAGGAGUACCGGUGGCGAAGGCGGCCCCCUGGACAAAGACUGACGCUCAGGUGCGAAAGCGUGGGGAGCAAACAGGAUUAGAUACCCCGGUAGUC
rnacentral:rRNA from 1 species